rnacentral:misc_RNA from 1 species
GCAAACCAGCAACACACACGCAGCA